GACGAACGCUGGCGGCGUGCAUAAUACAUGCAAGUCGAACGCUGAAGAGAGGAGCUUGCUCUUCUUGGAUGAGUUGCGCACGGGUGAGUAACGCGUAGGUAACCUGCCUUGUAGCGGGGGAUAACUAUUGGAAACGAUAGCUAAUACCGCAUAACAAUGGAUGACACAUGUCAUUUAUUUGAAAGGGGCAAUUGCUCCACUACAAGAUGGACCUGCGUUGUAUUAGCUAGUAGGUGAGGUAAUGGCUCACCUAGGCGACGAUACAUAGCCGACCUGAGAGGGUGAUCGGCCACACUGGGACUGAGACACGGCCCAGACUCCUACGGGAGGCAGCAGUAGGGAAUCUUCGGCAAUGGGGGCAACCCUGACCGAGCAACGCCGCGUGAGUGAAGAAGGUUUUCGGAUCGUAAAGCUCGGUUGUAAGUCAAGAACGGGUGUGAGAGUGGAAAGUUCACACUGUGACGGUAGCUGACCAGAAAGGGACGGCUAACUACGUG
rnacentral:rRNA from 1 species